GGAGGGGUGUCCGAGCGGUUUAAGGAGCCGGUCUUGAAAACCGGUGACCCCGCAAGGGGCCGUGGGUUCGAAUCCCACUCCCUCCGCCA
rnacentral:tRNA from 2 species